CGACGGGGGGUAGCAGUGAGGAAGACUGGUCAAGGGACGCAAGUCGGAACCAGACAAGUAGCGUGGAGGAGGACGGCCCUCCGGGUUGUAAACUGCUUUUAGUUGGGAAUAAAAGGGGGCUCGUGAGCCCCGUAUUGUAUGUACCAUCAGAAAAAGGACCGGCUAAUUCCGUGCCAGCAGCCGCGGUAAUACGGAAGGUCCGGGCGUUAUCCGGAUUUAUUGGGUUUAAAGGGAGCGUAGGUCGGCUUUUAAGUCAGCUGUGAAAGUCCGCGGCUCAACCGUGGAAUUGCAGUUGAAACUGGAGGCCUUGAGUGCACACAGGGAUGCCGGAAUUCAUGGUGUAGCGGUGAAAUGCUUAGAUAUCAUGAAGAACUCCGAUCGCGAAGGCAGGUGUCCGGGGUGCAACUGACGCUGAGGCUCGAAAGUGCGGGUAUCAAACAGGAUUAGAUACCCGGGUAGUC
rnacentral:rRNA from 1 species